CAAUAGCGUAUAUUAAAGUUGUUGCGGUUAAAAAGCUCGUAGUUGGAGUUCUGCCAGGUGCCGCCUGUCCGCCCCAGUGGUGAGUACGUGGCGCGCAUUUGGCCCUUUCAAGGGGAGCGUAUCUGCACUUUAUUGUGUGGUGCGGGAUCCUUGACUUUUACUUUGAGGAAAUAGGAGUGUUCCAAGCAGGCUCUCGUCGUGCACAGCUCAGCAUGGAAUAAUAGCAUUGGACCUCGAUUCUAAGCUGUUGGUUGCCAGAAGCGAGGUAAUGAUGAAGAGGGAUAGUUGGGGGCAUUCGUAUUUAACUGUCAGAGGUGAAAUUCUUGGAUUUGUUAAAGACGGACUACUACGAAAGCAUCUGCCAUGGAUGUUUUCAUUGA
rnacentral:rRNA from 1 species